rnacentral:rRNA from 1 species
UACGUAGGUGGCAAGCGUUGUCCGGAAUUAUUGGGCGUAAAGCGCGCGCAGGUGGUUUCUUAAGUCUGAUGUGAAAGCCCACGGCUCAACCGUGGAGGGUCAUUGGAAACUGGGGAACUUGAGUGCAGGAGAGAAGAGUGGAAUUCCACGUGUAGCGGUGAAAUGCGUAGGAGAAUGUGGAGGAACACCAGUGGCGAAGGCGACUCUUUGGGCCUGUAACUGACGCUGAGGCGCGAAAGCGUGGGGAGCAAACAGG